GAGAGUCUGUUCCCAGGAGUCUUCUUUGGAGGGAAUCCCUGUCCUUGUCGGGCAACGGAGGGGCCGCAGGGGAGCAUCUCCCGGGCCGUCUUUGAAGCCAGCAAAGCACUCAGAGCCUUUGAAGUGGCCAGAGGACACCAUUAGAUGCUCUACCGCCUGGUCCUUUCAUUUCACCUUUCAAUGGACUGGCUCGUGAAGAAAUGGUUGAGCCCUGAGGUGUGGCCCAGUGGAUUGGAGCAUCAUCCCAUCACCUGAAGAAAUCAGUAGGAAGAAAUAUCUUCGGGUAAGGAUAAAAAAGAAAAAGAAAAGAAAAGUUGAAGUGACCUUUGCUUUGGGGACUUAAAACCUUUCCAAGUACCUGGACUUCUUUGAUCUCAGCCCUGCAAUGCAUAUUUGAACAUGUCUGACAUUAAUUUACUAAUCAUCUUCCUUUGAAGAUUAGGCAAUAAAAUGGCAUGUUUUAAUGUGA